rnacentral:rRNA from 1 species
UAAUACGGAGGGUCCAAGCGUUAUCCGGAAUCAUUGGGUUUAAAGGGUCCGUAGGCGGCCCGAUAAGUCAGUGGUGAAAUCUCCCGGCUCAACCGGGAAAUGGCCAUUGAUACUGUCGGGCUUGAAUUAUCAGGAAGUAACUAGAAUAUGUAGUGUAGCGGUGAAAUGCUUAGAGAUUACAUGGAAUACCAAUUGCGAAGGCAGGUUACUACUGGUGGAUUGACGCUGAUGGACGAAAGCGUGGGUAGCGAACAGGAUUAGAUACCCUGGUAGUCCACGCCGUAAACGAUGGAUACUAGCUGUUCGGAAGCAAUUCUGAGUGGCUAAGCGAAAGUGAUAAGUAUCCCACCUGGGGAGUACGAACGCAAGUUUG